UACGGAGGGUGCAAGCGUUAUCCGGAUUCACUGGGUUUAAAGGGAGCGUAGGUGGCUUUGUAAGUCAGUGGUGAAAUGUCGCGGCUCAACCGCGAAACUGCCAUUGAUACUGCUUAGCUUGAAUCACGUCGAGGUGGAUGGAAUAAUACAUGUAGCGGUGAAAUGCUUAGAUAUGUAUUAGAACACCGAUUGCGAAGGCAGUUCACUAGGCGUGUAUUGACACUGAGGCUCGAAGGCGUGGGGAUCAAACAGG
rnacentral:rRNA from 1 species